AUGCCAUGUUUAUGACACCAGCCUCUGUUUCCAUGGGGAUGAUUGUAUCAAUGUAAUUCCAGCAUUAUGACUUCUGGGUACAUUUGAGAAGAUGGGUGAAAGCAACGAAAAAUUUUCAAGUGUACACAUCUAUUGUGAUCCUGAUAACUCACAGGAAUGAUACUGCUGAAAAUAGAGACUAGGAAUCAGACAGAUGUCCACUAAAGCCUGAGGUCAUUUUUUUCUGAUGGCUAAAAAGGAUGUUUAACCCCUAAGUCCUUCCUUCUUGAAAUCUUUGGUCUGCUUUAUUUUAAAUGUUUUGUUUUAGUUUUUAAUAUGACAUAAUUUGCAUUAGGCAUCUGUAAGGCUUUUAUCUGCUCAUUGCCUAAAUCUUUCAUCUGUAUGGGGACUGCAUUAAGCUCAUCCUGAAUAAUGGCCUCUAUUAUUUAAAUCCAUUAUUCAAAUUCCAUUUUUCUAAGAAGCUAUCACUCCUAUUCCAUCUGCAAAUAUGAAAACUUAAAUGUAAAGGUCCCUCUUCAAAUUUUCCACAGGAAAAAAACAUGUCAUCCAUUUAAAUGCAUGCUUCAGGCACUGCACAUUCUGUAAGAAGGCGAUUUUAAACAACCUAUUUCUAUUUAAUGUCAAAAUUGAGAUUUUAAAAAAUUUUGCUGAUUACAAAAGUAAUUCAUAUUUACUGUGAAAAAGAAAAUCAAACACUGAAGAAUUUGAAGUAGAAAGUAGCUACCCAAAAUUCUAUCCAAAAUUGCUAUAACCCACAGAAACAUUGUUUUAUCUCUAUAUUUUUCUAAAUGUUGAAAUAUUAAAAUCAUGACUAUUUACACAAAUUGAAUCAUAUGAUUCUGUGGCAGACAAUUUUCCAAAGAUGGUCACAACAAUAUCCCUCAUCCUGCAUGCUUUUCUGCAAGUUCCUUGCCACUCUCCCAUCAAGAAAUGUUAUUUCGCCACCUCCCUGAAUCUCAGCAGGACUUUGGAUUGCUUCAAUCAAUAGAAUAGAGCUGAUACAACGUUAUACUAAUUCUGUGUAUAGCCUUUAACUGGCCUGGCAACUUCCACUUCCUGCUUUUCGGAAGGUAGACAUGUUAAGAAGUAGGACUACCCUGAGACCACCAUGCUAAGAACUGGAAGAUGAGAUACCUUGUUGAGAAGUAAAGAAAUCAAAGCGCACCAAGGCACUAGACAUGCUUUUCAAACGCAGAUUUGUUUGUUGUUUGGUUGGUUUGUUGCUUGACUCUACUCUUACCUACAUACAUAUCAACACACACAACAUGUAAGACUUGUAAGUGAAGAAGCCAUCUUGGAAGUAGAUCCUUCUCUCCCAGCCGACCUGGCUGACUAUAACACAAACCACCCAACCAAGCCCUUCUUGAGUGCUGAUCUAUUAAACCAGAAGCAGAAAAAAAGAGUUACUUUAAGCCCUUAAGUUCUGGCAUUGUUUGUACCAUUAACAUUUAAAUAACCAAAACACAUGGUUGGAGCAUUUUUUAUUUUAAAACAAAUUAAAUCCAUCUCACCUAUUUUAGUAGCUCUCAUAGUAUUCUAUCAUAGGCAUUUACCCUAUGUUAACUCAGCUUCAAUAGAUGUACUUUUAGACUAUUUUCCAUUUUUAUUAUGCUGUAGCAAAUAUUUGUUUACAUUUAUCUGUAUCUAUCUGAUUGUUUUCAAAAAUAAAUUCUUCUAAGUCAUAUUACUGGGCCAUAUGGGAAUUCAAAUAUUACAUUUUGAUAUCUUCAGCCUGAUUAUAUUUCAGAAAUGUACAAAUUUAUUCUCACACCAGGAGCAUGUAAGAGUUUCUCUCUCCCACACUUUCAUCAUCACUGGAUUUUAUCAAUCUUUAUAAUUUUAGCCAAUCUGCUGACAUAUACAUAGUUUCAUUUUUAUUGUUCACUUCUUAUAUUUGUCAUCCUAAAACCAUGUGUGGACAGAAAGAGUCCAUAAGACCUAAAUGUCCUGGAAGGUGAAGUCAAACCAUUGAGAAAAUUACCUGGAGAGUCUUCCAGAGGCUGAGACUUCACCCUAUUGGUUUUUACGCUUCUCAGAGCCAGGAGCAUCCCAGAUGCAGAGUCCAGAACUGGGAGGAUGUGGUACUGAGGGAGCCCAGAGCGGAUGGAAUAACAAGGAAGGGAUUUGCCUUCCUGCUUGAAGCAUCUAACGAAUCUGACAAAGUAUAUUAAAGAAAGUGUCUCAAGACACUGGACAUCAGCUUAAAGGAAGACCCAAUAGGAUAAAAUUGUUUUCAAGUCACUUAACUGCAUCCUAGAAUGAACUCAAGUAUAUUUAUAGGAAUACAAUAAUGUACAGCCCUCAACAAGAGAAAUUUCACGAAGCUUGGCACACAUUCAAGAAUAACGAGGCAUGCAAAGAAGUAGGACAAAUGCAACCAUAAUACAGAGAAAAGCCAAUCAAACAGACCCAGUAAUGACACUGAUGAUGGAGUUAGUAGACAAGGCCAUUAAAACAGUCAUUAUAACUGCGUUCCAUAUGUUUGAGAAACUUGAACGUGAUAAGUAGAGACAUGGAAGAUAAUUUUGUUGCCUGGGCUUACCCUUCAGACUCUGCUUCUUGAACAGUGUCAGUGGCUGUAAUCUCAGUUCAGAUCUUUCAUCUUUAACUGAGCUGCUUUGAGUCUUCUGCAUAGGUGUGGUUUGAGAGUCGGUCAGACUGGGUACACAGAAUGGCCCCCACCACCGCAAUUCUCUUCAGUGUUCAUAGUAGUCCAGCUUCAAUUUUCUGGUUCCCCAGGCCAGAAAGAAGGGAUGCUUGUUUGUCCACAUGCACCCCAACAGCUGCUGUGUGCACUAUAUGGAGCCACAGAGAUGGGACCUUUCCUGGGCAACUUCUCAUCUCCCCUGUCCAAGUACACUGGAACCAACUGGAAGAGCACUAAAUUGUCAAAGCUGGAACAUUUUGAGCAACAAAAUAAAUAAAGUAGUAUAGAGUGAUA
rnacentral:lncRNA from 1 species